AGAGUUUGAUCCUGGCUCAGAACGAACGCUGGCGGCAGGCCUAACACAUGCAAGUGGAACGCCCCGCAAGGGGAGUGGCAGACGGGUGAGUAACACGUGGGAACCUACCUAUUGGUACGGAAUAACUCGGGGAAACCCGUGCUAAUACCGUAUACGCCCGAGAGGGGAAAGAUUUAUCGCCGAUAGAUGGGCCCGCGUCGGAUUAGCUAGUUGGUGGGGUAAUGGCUCACCAAGGCGACGAUCCGUAGCUGGUCUGAGAGGAUGAUCAGCCACACUGGGACUGAGACACGGCCCAGACUCCUACGGGAGGCAGCAGUGGGGAAUAUUGGACAAUGGGGGCAACCCUGAUCCAGCCAUGCCGCGUGAGUGACGAAGGCCUUAGGGUUGUAAAGCUCUUUUGGCGGGGACGAUAA
rnacentral:rRNA from 1 species